GAUGAACGCUGGCGGCGUGCCUAAUACAUGCAAGUCGAGCGAAGCGGGGACGGGUGAGUAACACGUGGAUAACCUCCUUUAAGACUGGGAUAACUUCGGGAAACCGGAGCUAAACCGGAUACUUAGAGAUGGAUCCGCGCUGCAUUAGCUAGUUGGUAAGUUAACGGCUUACAAAGGAAACGAUGCAUAGCCGACCUGAGAGGGUGAUCGGCCACACUGGAACUGAGACACGGUCCAGAAGCCUACGGGAGGCAGCAGUAGGGAAUAUUCCGCAAUGGGCGAAAGCCUGACGGAGCCACGCCGCGUGAGUGAUGAAGGUCUUCGGAUCGUAAAGCUCUGUUAUUAGGGAAGCGGUACCUAAUCAGAAAGCCACGGCUAACUACGUGCCAGCAGCCGCGGUAAUUC
rnacentral:rRNA from 1 species